UAGGGAAUAUUGGUCAAUGGGCGAAAGCCUGAACCAGCCAUGCCGCGUGGAGGAUGACUGCCCUCAGGGUUGUAAACUCCUUUUAUACGGGAAGAAACCCCUGGAUUUAUCCGGGGCUGACGGUACCGUAUGAAUAAGCACCGGCUAACUCCGUGCCAGCAGCCGCGGUAAUACGGAGGGUGCAAGCGUUAUCCGGAUUCACUGGGUUUAAAGGGUGCGCAGGCGGAAGAUUAAGUCAGUGGUGAAAGCCCCGAGCUCAACUUGGGAACUGCCAUUGAUACUGGUCUUCUUGAAUAUAGUUGAGGUAGGCGGAAUACAGCAUGUAGCGGUGAAAUGCUUAGAUAUGCUGUAGAACACCGAUUGCGAAGGCAGCUUACUAAACUAUCAUUGACGCUGAGGCACGAAAGCGUGGGGAGCGAACAG
rnacentral:rRNA from 1 species